rnacentral:rRNA from 1 species
AAUGAACGCUGGCGGCAGGCCUAACACAUGCAAGUCGAACGGAUCCUUCGGGAUUAGUGGCGGACGGGUGAGUAACGCGUGGGAACAUACCCUUUGGUACGGAAUAGCCUCGGGAAACUGGGAGUAAUACCGUAUGUGCUCUUCGGAGGAAAGAUUUAUCGCCAAAGGAUUGGCCCGCGUUGGAUUAGGUAGUUGGUGGGGUAAUGGCCUACCAAGCCGACGAUCCAUAGCUGGUUUGAGAGGAUGAUCAGCCACACUGGGACUGAGACACGGCCCAGACUCCUACGGGAGGCAGCAGUGGGGAAUCUUAGACAAUGGGGGAAACCCUGAUCUAGCCAUGCCGCGUGCUCGAUGAAGGCCUUAGGGUUGUAAAGAUCUUUCAGUGGGGAAGAUAAUGACGGUACCCACAGAAGAAAGCCCCCGGCUAACUCCGUGCCAGCAGCCGCGGUAAU